CCUUCUCACAAGAUUUUCCCUUGUUCUCGGCAUCUAGACCUAUCGCCUGGAUCAGAAUGGGAGGGAGGAUGUCUGCUGCCCUGUCGUAUCCACACCGGAGGAAUGUCUCUGCGUGCACAGCGGGCUGCACAGUGCUCGGAAUGGAGCGCCUAACGUGAAUGGAGGCUAGCCUGCUGGUAGAGACCUUGGCAGUGACCGCCAUGGGCAAUGAGCCGUGGGCCAACAAUAUUCAAUUCCAUGUACCUAGUGGAUGGUUCCUGUCUGAGACUGAGGCUCUUUGGGCCAGAAAGGAAAGGACUCAGAGUUUGUGCUUGAUUUCAUCCUGUGGAUGCUGCCUUACCAACUGACUCACCCUGACAUGCCAAAGGUGGUGGCUAUCACCUGUGUGGGUAAGGGAAGCAGAGGUCUGUGUGAGUAAUGGCUUCAGUUUCAUGUUCUUGGUUGGGGAGGUUGACUCAUGGGUGGGCGUUGCUUGGAUUUUUCUAAAGUAGCAAAUGGAUAUAAUUCACAAGUAAAACUUUCAAAU